GAGGGUAUAGAUCAAGUAGUAGAGUGCAUGCUUAGAAUGCCUGAGGUCCUGGGUUCAAUCCCCAGUACCUUCU
rnacentral:tRNA from 1 species